rnacentral:rRNA from 1 species
AGUGAACGCUGGCGGUAGGCCUAACACAUGCAAGUCGAACGGCAGCACAGGAGAGCUUGCUCUCUGGGUGGCGAGUGGCGGACGGGUGAGGAAUACAUCGGAAUCUACUCUGUCGUGGGGGAUAACGUAGGGAAACUUACGCUAAUACCGCAUACGACCUACGGGUGAAAGCAGGGGAUCUUCGGACCUUGCGCGAUUGAAUGAGCCGAUGUCGGAUUAGCUAGUUGGCAGGGUAAAGGCCCACCAAGGCGACGAUCCGUAGCUGGUCUGAGAGGAUGACCAGCCACACUGGAACUGAGACACGGUCCAGACUCCUACGGGAGGCAGCAGUGGGGAAUAUUGGACAAUGGGCGCAAGCCUGAUCCAGCCAUACCGCGUGGGUGAAGAAGGCCUUCGGGUUGUAAAGCCCUUUUGUUGGGAAAGAAAUCCAGCUGGCUAAUACCCGGUUGGGAUGACGGUACCCAAAGAAUAAGCACCGGCUAACUUCGUGCCAGCCGCCGCCGUAA